rnacentral:rRNA from 1 species
AUUGAACGCUGGCGGCAUGCCUUACACAUGCAAGUCGAACGGCAGCACGGGUGCUUGCACCUGAUGGCGAGUGGCGAACGGGUGAGUAAUACAUCGGAACGUACCUUAUCGUGGGGGAUAACGCAGCGAAAGCUGUGCUAAUACCGCAUACGCCCUGAGGGGGAAAGCGGGGGAUCGAAAGACCUCGCGCGAUUAGAGCGGCCGAUGCCUGAUUAGCUUGUUGGUGGGGUAAAAGCCCACCAAGGCCACGAUCGGUAGCUGGUCUGAGAGGACGAUCAGCCACACUGGGACUAGGACACGGCCCAGACUCCUACGGGAGGCAGCAGUGGGGAAUUUUGGACAAUGGGGGCAACCCUGGACCAGCAAUGCCGCGUGAGUGAAGAAGGCCUUCGGGUUGUAACGCUCUUUUGUCAGGGAAGAAACACCGGCUCUAACACAGUCCGGGAAUGACGGUACCUGAAGAAUAAGCACCGGCUAACUACGUGCCAGCCGCCGCGGUAA